UGAUUAUUGGAGGUGUGGGUGGGGAUGGGAAGUGGUAUGUGUGUCACAAAGGGUUCCAGAUGGGUGUGUUAAGAUCCCAACUGUUGAGAGGCUUGCAACCUAGUCUCUCAAAUACGCAAAUGACAGCAGCUGUACAUAAUAGAUCCCAGCAGAGCACACCUGAAUGCAUCCCUAGGCUGCAGUGACAAGGGUCAUUGAGCUAGGAGUCCUAGCAUCAGCCACAUCUUGCUAUUGUUGGGAAGAUCCUCGGCCAAUCUCCAUGAAGCCAAUAAUUGGCCUGUUUACCUCUGUGAUCCCCUUACCCAAAAGACCUUCGACUUCCACACCCUGCAUCUUUGCUCAACGACAGCUCAACUUGACAACUAGGACCUGGCUUCUAGCGGAAGACAUGACUACAAAAUUGGAAGCCCACUGCUCAGUGUGGCUAGGCCUGUGGCCUUACCAUCCGCGUGCUGACGGCAUUCUCAGUGAGGGCAGAGACAAAUAAAUGGUACAAGGAGAGAGCAAUGAAGGCGUAGGGCGUAGGGAGGGCUCUUUGCUGAGGGUGUGCAAAGCCUAAGUCCCUGAUCCACUGGGUCAGAUAUGAGAACAAAAGAGCUUUUAUCUGAGGGAAAGUGUUCCCAGAAAAAUACUCUGAGCUAGAAAAUUCCUGUCAUCCUCGCUCAUUUAUUUUGUACAAGGACUCAAAAAUAAAAAAAAAAAUCUUUCCUUUUCCGGUGGAACUCUGACAUAAAGGAGAGCCUGUAUAUGGUGGCGGCGGUGACUGAGCACAGCCUCCCAGGCUGCUUCUUUCUUGAUGUUGAACCACAUCACCCAUUAAUACCCAAAUGCUGGCAAUCCCACCAAGGCCGCCAUUCCACUGCCUUUCGGGGUCAAGCUUGCCUCCAUGUAUGUGCUACUAAAACACAAAGCUCCUUUCUCAGCAACAGAAACUCCAUUUAUCAGUUAGGAGGCUUUGGGUUGUAAGCCCCAAAAUACCCAACCAGGAAUGAACUGAAGCACAAAUGAAUUCUCUCAAGCUUAGGGCUAAGUCUGGAGCAGACAGUAGUUAAUAACUGUGUCAGUUGAAGUCAACCCAGUGACUUCAGCUGAGCAUAGGUUUCCCCUGUUCUUCCCAUCUGUCCUCACGAGGUCACAAGAUGGCGGCCAUAAUUCCAAGACCUCACGGAAGACCCCCAAAGUGGAAGUGAGCCCCGAAAGCAGAUGAGGAUUGCCUCCUGCCUCUAUCCAUGCUGCACUCAGAGCACCAACUCACAGCAUCUUGAAGUAGGAGUUUCGUCAUUGUUCUUUCAGUUACUGUCUGGGUAGCUGCAAGCCAGAUGUGUUUCCUUUCCUUCCUAAGUCGCUGAGGAGGACCUUGAACUUCUGAUCUUCCCCCCCUGAAAGCUCAGAUUGUAGGUCUGUCCAUGGGCUCUUCGAGGCUGUACCAAGCAGAUGAUGGUGGUCACAGCAGCAUUUCCGGACAUCUGGUGCUCAAUUUGCCCAGGUCAACCUUCUUACAAGAGCAUAUGGCCUGACGUUAUUGACAUGACACGGCUCCAGUUCUCUUCCUGAAUUUCAGACCAUUUUUGCUAAUUUAAAACCCAACAGAUAGCCAAGCAGCAUGGUGGCCCUGGCCCCUCCUCUUCCUACAGUCAGUUCCUGGUACUAACAGAGUGACCCAAAAAGGAGAGUUGGGAACUCCAGGACCCUGGAAACCCUACUAUGGUUUUCUGUGAAAUGACAUUUGCCCAGAACCAACCAGAAGCCCAGUUGGGACACCCCAGUCUUAGACAAUCUCAGUGAAAGGAGGGUUCACACCACUCACCCCUGAAAGGAGCCACUGUGGCCAAGAACCACUUCUGUGGAGGUCGUCUCCUUCCUCUGUGAACCGCUGUGGAAUGCUGGAGGCAAUCCCAGACACUGUGACCAGACAAUGGGAAAGUAGAGAAGAAAGGACCUCCAGUGUAGCCACAUGGAGACUGCCAAAUUCUAUCACCCUGGAACUUCUUGCCAUGUUGCUGGAGAUCACCCUGUUCUAACAGGGGCCAUCUUGACUGUGAGGGAGUACCACAGUCCUUCAUGAUAGACACAUGAAUGGAGUACGAAUCAAGGAGAAGCAGAAAAGUUGAACCAUUGAGAGUUGACAUCAGGAGGAGGAGAGAGGAGGACUGGACCAGGGAAAGGAGGGAAGAAAGGACCAGUGCCCAGCUAAUAGGUGGCGCCAUGAGAAGAUCCUCCCUUUGACAAUGACCACAAGAGCUACGUGAAACAUUUUCAAAACCUGCAGACAUCGUAGGCCAUAUUCCCCCCAGAAAUGACUACCAGCUCCGUUAGAGAAGCUUCAAGGCUCUGCACUUGACAAAACAGAAAUCUGUAGGCAAGUGAGUAAUGGUGGGUCUCAAGGGGACCAGAAGAAUGUCCCCAGGAAGAACAGAAGUGCAGGGGAUGAGGUGUCACAGCUGAGGGAGAGAGAACUCUCACUACCCACUAUUUCAGAAAAGAUCGGCUACCCUAAACCCAGUAGACUAGUACCCCACAGUUGCCCAAGCAGUCCCCGUUCUACCCGAACCAGUGCCUUGAGCCACCACCCAGACCCUCUGCCAUGACUCGACUUUCUGCCUCGAGCUUGUGUCUUCUCCUCUACCCUCUGCCCAGCCGGGAAUGGGAUCCUAUCCCAGCUGCCCUGAGUCGCAGAACAAAAUCCAUUCUCUUCAGCCUUAACGCGAAUGGCAUGUUCGUGUUUCACCAGGCACAUGCUGCCAACAUGCCACUUUUUUACUCAGGUUCGAUCACGGGAAGCAAGAGCAGAGGAUGAAAUGAGGGAGGCAGGAAGCCAGGAGAGUCAACACCAGCAUGGGAGACCAAACAGGUACAGCGUACAUCGACUGCUCUGAUAGCUUGAUUCUCUAGAGCCAUCUUCCAAGAUGCUGUAUGGGCCGCUGACUCUCAGAUCAGUUCAAGCCUCAGAGGCUGCAGGAGAGCCUGAAAGAGGAAGUGGGUUUGUGGGUGGGUCUAGACCAGUGGUUUUCAACCUUCCUAAUGCUGUGACCCUUUGAUACAGUUCCUCAUGUGGUGGUGACCCCCAACUAUAAGAUUAUUUUUGGCUACUUCAUAAUCAUAAUGUAAAUAUCUGUGCUUCCGGAUGCUCUUAGACGACCCCUGUGAAAGGGUCAUUUGGCACCCCCUAAGGAAUUAUCAAAUACAGGUUGUGAACUGAUGGUCUGGAGUGACAGAUAGCCUGUGUCCAAUGCGAUCAGAAAGGGUUUCUGUCUAUAAGUGUCUGGGACACAGCCAGUAGCCAAUGGUCUCUAAAACAUGGGACUGAAAGGAGGGUCUAGAAGGCACUAAGUGAGAUCUCACCUAUAAGCCAGCUCUACAUUCUCUCCUGGCAGUGGGCAUCUCAAUGCCCAUGAUGCCACCUGGGCUAUGUCUUUCUAAACUAGAAAAUAGCUUUGUCUAUCCCCUGGCCCUUCUCCUAACAAUCUUUUUCAGUGGAUGUUCCCAACCGUCCCCCUCUACCCCUCUUGGAAUACAGGUGAUGGGGUUGGUCAUGGCACGAGAAAGUGGAUCUGACGGCAGAGUGAGGCUGUGCCCAGGGUACCCUUCACUCACACACACCCCUGAAGGUUCCCCCUGCCCAUCCCCACCCACCUGCCCACCCUGCCGCUCUGCACUUGGUCAGUAGAGAUGAAUGGACACAGUGAGUCUUCUCCUCCCCUGCAUCAGUUGGGCCCCUCUGGUGCAUUGCAGUAGUUCUGGGCUGAGCACCAUAGGGCUGGCAGGCUUCGUGGCCAACCUGAAUGAGGUAUGGAAAACGCUAGGAGCUCCCACUUGAGGUAUCUACAGUAAGCAUCCCUUUCUCUAUGCCUCACCUGCAAUCCAGACCUCCUCCCACAAUCUCGGUAGCACUCUCUACCUGUGACCCCAGGUCUGCAAGGGAGGCCUUGGGCUUGAACAAGUACUUGCUUGCAAUUGGGGCUUCAAAGUAGUCAGGCUGCUCCAGACAGAAGAUACAACUGUGGUACCAGGGAAUCAGCAUGAAUGUAACUUCCUUCCUUUGAGAGCAGAGGAUCCCAUAGCCUAUCUGCAUAAAUCCUUUUCUGGGACCUGCCUUGAACUGCUCCAGAACUGACUGGAAGGUUCUAGAGGUAAAAAUUCAAAUGUUGAAGCCAGAGGGAACUGGGGGGGCUCUUUCACAGGGGUCACAU
rnacentral:sRNA from 1 species